UACGUAGGGUGCAAGCGUUGUCCGGAAUUAUUGGGCGUAAAGAGCUCGUAGGCGGUUUGUCGCGUCUGCUGUGAAAACUCGGGGCUUAACUCCGGGCCUGCAGUGGGUACGGGCAGACUAGAGUGCGGUAGGGGGAGACUGGAAUUCCUGGUGUAGCGGUGAAAUGCGCAGAUAUCAGGAGGAACACCGGUGGCGAAGGCGGGACUCUGGGCCGAUACUGACGCUGAGGAGCGAAAGCGUGGGGGAGCGAACAGG
rnacentral:rRNA from 1 species